UUUGCCUCCCAUUUGUUGUUCUCUAUCCUCUUUCUCUGCUUAAAAAAAAAAAAUCAGCCUCACUCUUUAUCACCGAUGUAUCAACGCCAUGAGCUAAGCUUGAGAGAAAAACAUCUAAUACCCACCAUUUUCUCUUCAAUCUUUCCGUGAAAACCAUUUUCCUUCAAAACCCACCACCAUUAAACCUUCGGUAGAUAUCUUUCUCCUGUUUAUGUUGUUCUUCUAUCUUUCUCUUGAAAACCAACCACUAUUUUCUCUUCAAUCUUUCUCAUGCUUGAUUUUCUACAGAAAAGUUAGGGUUUGAAAUUUCAAAGUUAGGGUUUGGAAAAAAAAUCCAUUGAUUUCGAAGAUCUUGAGCUUCUGAAGGCAGAGUGAAGUUAUACAAUUAUUAUUAGAAUGUUCUUCGUAUUCCAAGUACUCGAUUAAUAGAGAUGGUUUCAGUCACAACUAAUCGUGGCCAAGAUGCCAUUCCUUCCUUCUCUGGUCGUUUGGGAUUGUACAUUGAAGGAUCAGUUUCCUCAACUAUGUCUGGUGUUGACAUUAGAGUUAUAGCAGCAAGAAAAAAAGUAAUAUCCCAUUAAGGAUCAGUUUCCUCAACUAUGUCUCAGUCGACGUUGCCUAAGCUCAAGAUUAUGAAUGGCUUGCUAGUACGAUGUUACUUGUUUCCUGAAGUAUUACCAGGGUUUGGUAAAGUGACUAGUAUUUUUUGAGUUUGGGGCGAGUCAGUUUCCAUGUGCAUCUGAUGCUACAUAUUUUUUAGUUUCGAAUAUUCACAUCUUUGAUUUAGAUUGACUAACCUUAUUGGAAGUUUUCUAGUUUAGUUGAGUAAUAGAAUUAUGUUUCAUAAAUUUCAUUGGUAGUGUACAUAUCUACUCCAUCUAUUUAUCUUGUUUUAUGAUAUCUUGUGAUGCUUAUAUGUAUGGCAGACUUGAUGUAUUAUCACUGCAGAACAUAGUAUGCAUGAUGCGCUUAGGUUCAGAACGGAGGUAAAGAAUGUACAGACAAAUAAAAUCAGUGAAUGGGCUAAUAAUGAAUCGUUAACCAAUUUGUGUUGGAAGUACUAUGCCAGCAACAAUAAAAGUGGUGAUACCACAGCUAUCGUGUCCAGUUGCGUUGUUUACAUACUACAACCUGAUACUUAAGCGUGGUGUUGAAAACUUCAUGGUUACUAUAAAAGAUGUUGGAAUACAUGGACCUGCUAGGUGUUACAGGUAGAUUAAGAACAAUCCAUACCCAAAGUCAAGGUAUUGUCAUGGCUUGAAAAAGAAAGGAGUUGAUGAGUUCUGUGUCCAUUUGGUGAGUCCCUUUCUGUGUCCACAACAAACACAACAACAAUCACAACAAGAAACACCAUGAAACACGAGAAUUCGUGGUGUCAAGUAUACGAUGUAUGAAGACGAGUCACUUUGUAGAAAUUAUGUAUUAUAUACAUUAGAUGACAUCAAUGGUAUUAGUCAAGAGAAAAAACCUUUUUAUGAUAAGAUUUUACAAAAAAUUUGUGAAGAAACAGGUAACCCCGAUAGACGUGAUGGCGAUGGGUUGUCUCAUCGUUUUCGCACAAUUUUAACAGCCGUUAGUGAAUUUGUAGAUUCGAUCACUCAAAUGUGGCACAAUUGAAGAAGUGGUUGUAGAGCAUUGCUCGG